rnacentral:rRNA from 1 species
AUGGUUGCGGAGGCGAAGCAGAACGGCGUGGCCACCAUGGCGGGCAGCAAGGUGCAGCUGAUGUCGGUGAAGCGCGGCGAGCCGACGCUGGUGUCGCCAGCGGAGGCCACGCCGACGGGGGAGCAGUACUACCUGUCCAACCUGGACCAGAACAUCGCGGUGAUCGUGCAGACCGUGUACUGCUUCAAGUGCCCAUCGGGCCGCGGCAACGAAGGUGUCGCGGACACGCUCCGGGCCGCGCUGGCUCGCGUGCUCGUCCACUACCACCCGCUCGCCGGCCGCCUCGGCAUCAGCCCGGAGAUGAAGCUCAUCGUGGAGUGCACCGGCGAGGGCGUCCCGUUCGUGGAGGCUGAGGCCGCUUGCGACCUCGCCCUCAUCGGGGACCUCUCCACCCCGGACCCGGCCGCGCUGGGGCAGCUCGUGUACUCCGUCCCCGGCGCCAAGAACAUCCUCGAGAUGCCGCCCAUGACGGCGCAGGUGACCAGGUUCGAAUGUGGCGGCUUCAGCCUCGGGUUGGCCAUGAACCACUGCAUGUUCGACGGUCUGGGCGCCAUGGAGUUCGUCAACUCCUGGGCCGAGAUGGCGCGCGGCGCCACGGAGCUCACCGUGCCACCGUUCCUCGACCGCUCCGUGCUCCGCGCGCGCGACCCUCCGGUGAUCUCCAACCCGCACCAUGAGUUCGAGGAGAUCGCUGACGUUUCGGAAAUGGCGGCGCUCUACGGCGGCCAGGAGCUGGUGUACCGCUCCUUCUGCUUCGACCCGGACAGGCUUGAGCGUGUCCGCGGUCUCGCCCUCGCCGACGGGGAUCUCGAGCGCUGCACCACCUUCGAGGCGCUUUCCGGCCUCGUCUGGCGCGCUCGCACCCGCGCGCUGGGGCUCGCGCCGGAGCAGCAGACGAAGCUGCUGUUCGCCGUCGACGGGCGGCGCCGCUUCGUGCCUCCGCUCCCAAAGGGGUACUUCGGGAACGGCAUCGUGCUGACCAACGCCCUAGCGACGACGGGGGAUCUGCUGUCGGCGCCGGUGUCGCUCGCGGCCGGGAAGGUGCAGGAGGCCGUGCGGAUGGUGACGGACGAGUAUAUGCGGUCGGCGGUGGACUAUUUUGAGGCGACGCGCGCACGGCCGUCACUGGCGUCGACGCUGCUCAUCACCACGUGGUCGCGGCUUGCGUUCAACGGCGCCGACUUCGGCUGGGGCGAGCCGACCAUGUCCGGGCCAGUCACGCUGCCGGAGAAGGAGGUCAUACUCUUCCUCGCGCACGGCAAGGAGAGGAAGAGCAUCAACGUCCUGCUCGGCCUGCCGGCGUCCGCCAUGGACACUUUCCAAGAGCUCAUGGACGAGAUAUGA